UACGAGGGGGGCGAGCGUUGUUCGGAAUUAUUGGGCGUAAAGGGUGCGUAGGCGGUUCAGUAAGUCUUGUGUGAAAUCUUCGGGCUCAACUCGAAGUCUGCAUGAGAAACUGCUGGGCUUGAGUAUGGGAGAGGCGCGUGGAAUUGCAGGUGUAGCGGUGAAAUGCGUAGAUAUCUGCAGGAACACCCGUGGCGAAAGCGGCGCGCUGGACCACUACUGACGCUGAGGAACGAAAGCUAGGGGAGCAAACAG
rnacentral:rRNA from 1 species